rnacentral:rRNA from 1 species
GUGCCAGCAGCGGCGGUAAUACGGAGGGGUUAGCGUUGUUCGGAAUUACUGGGCGUAAAGCGCGCGUAGGCGGAUUGGAAAGUUAGGGGUGAAAUCCCAGGGCUCAACCCUGGAACUGCCUCUAAAACUCCCAGUCUUGAGGUCGAGAGAGGUGAGUGGAAUUCCGAGUGUAGAGGUGAAAUUCGUAGAUAUUCGGAGGAACACCAGUGGCGAAGGCGGCUCACUGGCUCGAUACUGACGCUGAGGUGCGAAAGCGUGGGAGCAAACAGGAUUAGAUACCCUGGUAGUCCACGCCGUAAACGAUGAAUGCCAGUCGUCGGGUUGCUUGCAACUCGGUGACACACCUAACGGAUUAAGCA